rnacentral:rRNA from 1 species
UGGGGAAUAUUGGACAAUGGGCGAAAGCCUGAUCCAGCCAUGCCGCGUGUGUGAAGAAGGUCUUCGGAUUGUAAAGCACUUUAAGUUGGGAGGAAGGGCAUUAACAUAAUACGUUAGUGUUUUGACGUUACCGAUAGAAUAAGCACCGGCUAACUCUGUGCCAGCAGCCGCGGUAAUACAGAGGGUGCAAGCGUUAAUCGGAAUUACUGGGCGUAAAGCGCGCGUAGGUGGUUUGUUAAGUUGGAUGUGAAAUCCCCGGGCUCAACCUGGGAACUGCAUUCAAAACUGACUGACUAGAGUAUGGUAGAGGGUGGUGGAAUUUCCUGUGUAGCGGUGAAAUGCGUAGAUAUAGGAAGGAACACCAGUGGCGAAGGCGACCACCUGGACUAAUACUGACACUGAGGUGCGAAAGCGUGGGGAGCAAACA